rnacentral:misc_RNA from 1 species
AAGAAGCUCAACAGGUCGUCUUUUCUGUCAACUCCGGGAAAGAGUAGAAAAGACGGAAGCUGUUGUUUGUGUAUAACGCUUGAAUCGAUCAUCAAAUUCAAAACUGAUUCUUCUACAAUCUACUAGUAUAGUAUAUGAUGGUGCUGUCACAGCUUCACGGAGCAUUCAAGGGUACGGUGGAGAGAAUCACUAGCCCUCGUACCGUCUCUGCUUUCAAAGAAAAAGGUGUUCUCAGCGUCAGCGAAUUCGUCAUAGCUGGAGAUAAUCUCGUCUCCAAAUGCCCUACCUGGUCUUGGGAAUCAGGUGAGCCUAGUAAGAGGAAGUCUUAUUUACCAGCCGACAAGCAAUUUUUGAUAACUAGAAAUGUUCCUUGUCUGAGAAGAGCUGCAUCAAUAGAGGAAGAAUAUGAGGCUGCUGGAGGUGAAGUUCUUCUUGAUAAUGAAGAUAAUGAUGGUUGGCUGGCAACUCAUGGCAAACCAAAAGAAAACAAUGGUGCUGAGGAUGAUAAUUUGCCAUCUAUAGACGCAUCAGAAAUCAACAAGAAGAACACUAUCCAGUCAAUCCCAUCAUACUUUGGAGGCGAGGAAGAGGAGGACAUACCUGACAUGGGAGAUUAUGAGGAAGCUGACAAUCUUAUAGAAACAGACCCUGCCACCCUUCAGACUACAUAUCUUGUGGCCAAUGAGCCUGAUGAUGACAACAUUCUAAGAACACGAACCUAUGAUGUCAGCAUCACGUAUGACAAAUAUUAUCAAACACCUCGUGUGUGGCUCACUGGAUAUGAUGAGUCAAGGAUGCUUUUGCAACCAGAACUCGUACUUGAAGAUGUCAGUCAAGACCAUGCACGCAAGACGGUGACCAUUGAAGACCAUCCACAUCUUCCAGGGAAACAUGCUUCUGUGCAUCCUUGCCGACAUGGGGCUGUGAUGAAGAAAAUUAUUGAUGUUUUGAUGUUGAGAGGAGUUGAACCCGAAGUUGACAAGUAUCUUUUCCUGUUCUUGAAGUUUGUGGCUUCGGUUAUUCCAACAAUUGAAUAUGAUUACACCAUGGACUUUGAUCUUGGUAGCAGUAGCACCUGAUUUGCUGUCAACUUCCUUCGGUCAGUAACAGUGGUAAAAUUAUUUUUUAGCCUAACUAGCAAAGAUGAUAUGGAUGUUGUAUUUUGUUUUUUCAGAUUGAUGCUGGCAUAUAACAUGUCAACCAGUCAAAUACUCUAAUGGCAAUACCUAUUUAUAAAUUGUACAGUAUUUAUAAAUGUUCUUCUAGAAAUGUGGAGCAUGCAUGAUGAAUCGUCAGCAUGCCUUGUUUAUUUUGUAUAUUAACAAAGAAUAAAGGUUAUUCAAGUUUGCACUUUGCACGAUCCACUGCAAGGCUGAAAUUGUUUAUUUAAGUUAAAG